AGUCCGCCGCCUCCCUCCGAGCGCAGGACGCUCCGACGCCCGCUUGCCCGCAGGCCACCGCAGGAACCCCACCGGUGCAGAACCGUGCCACUGCACCCAUAAGACAGCCCGAGGCUCCUGGCAGACCCUACUGGGAAUUACACAGCAAGAUGGCUUUCCCUACUCCAUCGUGGCUAGAGCCUCUGCAAGGGCUGAAGCCCUUUGAUCUUGGCUUCAUUUGGAUACAUUUCAAGGGCCUUACUGGCUUUGGGCAAGUGCUGAAGUUCACUCAUUUUCUAUUGGUUGUUUCUCCCCAUGAAAGUGUGCACACAUGGCUCAGCCUUCUGCAAACUUUUGGCCAAGGGAGAAAGCUCAGAGCUUGGCUGAUAUGCUGGACUCCCCAAAGUCUCCAGGUCUCCAGGGACGGUGCCUGUAACUUACCUGAAGAGGAACUGGUAGACAAGUCAUCUGAAAACAACUGAGGAAUCCUGCCCUGACCUAUCAGCUGUCUGCUGCCUCCCAACUCUUGCAGCCUUGGGAGAGGCACAUUCACUUGGAAAUGUGAUGAACAGGUGUCCAUUUACUUUGGAUUCAGGCCAAAGAGUCAAGCCAAUGUCAUUUGUAAGGCACAAUCAUUUUAAGUUCAGACCCAUGAAGAUCUUUUCUUGUACUUUUGUCUGAAUUAGAGAAACAACUUAAGCUGUCGUGCUUGGGGACAUUACUUUGAGAAAGCUACUUUGGAGGCACAACUCCCUAGGGUAAAGAAGAAAUAGCUUCCCGUCUUCCUAUGCAGGAAACUGCUGAAAUAGCUGACUCUACCCUCAAAGUUUAGAGUUCAUGUUCUCUGUGCACUUGGGUCCAUAUGUUCAAAGUGGCUUGGGAAAUAAUUUAUCAGUAGUUAACAUCCCUUUCCUAUCAGCUGUUUCCAGGAAAAAAAGCUAAUGUUGAGCAAUGGAAGUUGUUUCAACCUA
rnacentral:lncRNA from 1 species